UGCAGUCGAGCGAAUGGAUUGAGAGCUUGCUCUCAAGAAGUUAGCGGCGGACGGGUGAGUAACACGUGGGUAACCUGCCCAUAAGACUGGGAUAACUCCGGGAAACCGGGGCUAAUACCGGAUAACAUUUUGAACUGCAUGGUUCGAAAUUGAAAGGCGGCUUCGGCUGUCACUUAUGGAUGGACCCGCGUCGCAUUAGCUAGUUGGUGAGGUAACGGCUCACCAAGGCAACGAUGCGUAGCCGACCUGAGUGAGAGGGUGAUCGGCCACACUGGGACUGAGACACGGCCCAGACUCCUACGGGAGGCAGCAGUAGGGAAUCUUCCGCAAUGGACGAAAGUCUGACGGAGCAACGCCGCGUGAGUGAUGAAGGCUUUCGGGUCGUAAAACUCUGUUGUUAGGGAAGAACAAGUGCUAGUUGAAUAAGCUGGCACCUUGACGGUACCUAACCAGAAAGCCACGGCUAACUACGUGCCAGCAGCCGCGGUAAUACGUAGGUGGCAAGCGUUAUCCGGAAUUAUUGGGCGUAAAGCGCGCGCAGGUGGUUUCUUAAGUCUGAUGUGAAAGCCCACGGCUCAACCGUGGAGGGUCAUUGGAAACUGGGAGACUUGAGUGCAGAAGAGGAAAGUGGAAUUCCAUGUGUAGCGGUGAAAUGCGUAGAGAUAUGGAGGAACACCAGUGGCGAAGGCGACUUUCUGGUCUGUAACUGACACUGAGGCGCGAAAGCGUGGGGA
rnacentral:rRNA from 1 species